UAGUUUUUAGAUCCGGUCGAAGGAACUUGUUUAAAAAACUUGUAAAACCUGUGUCGCGUCGAGAAAACAACAAAAGACCUCAACAGCAACAGCAGCAAAACACUUGAAGGUAAACACAAAGAAGGUAGUGUAGUGAAUACAGACGGUUGUUGAAAUGGUGGACAGAACGUACAGAACAAGAACCUUGGGUGUUGCUGCAAGUGGCGUGCCUGAUCAGUAUGCUGAUGGAAAGGCUGCAAAAGUUUGGGAAUACUACAUUGGAGGAAGCAGGAAUAGAACUGAACAGUACAGGGAGUUCAUGUGCGAUCUUCUUCGUAAAAAAGGUGUAAUGAAUAUUUGCGAUGUUGCUUGUGGAAAUGGCGUUGAUUCAAUCUUAUUUCUUGAAAAUGGUUUUAAAAUGACAAGUUUUGAUGCCAGUGAUAAGAUGUUGAAAUAUGCUCUCAAAACAAGAUGGGAACGUAGAAAAGAAAAAGCCUUUGAUGAAUGGGUAAUUGAAGAGGCCAACUGGUUAGACUUGGCUGACAAUCAUGGCAAUGUGCAAUUCCCAGAAGGUGGCUUUGAUGCUGUGAUUUGUCUUGGAAAUUCGUUUGCCCAUCUUCCUGACCUCACUGGUGACCAAGAAAAUCACAGAAUUGCCAUCAGGAAUUUCCAUGAAGUUUUGAAACCUGGAGGUCUUCUCUUUAUUGACCAUCGCAACUAUGAUGCAAUUCUUGACAGCGGAAAGGCACCACACAGGAAUGUCUAUUACAAUAGUGAUCGUAUUAUUGAUAUUAAGACAUCAGUGCUGCAUGUGAAUGGGGAGGCUAAGAUGAUCACUCUUGACUACAUUGUUGAUGGAACAGAUGAGAAGAAAAUUCAAAGUGGCUCUGCAGAAAAGGAUUUAAGCAAAUUCCGUUUGUCUUACUAUCCUCAUCGUUUGGAAAAAUUUGAUCAUCUGUUGGAAGGUGUAUUUGGGAAAGAUACCGAACAUGUUGUUUGGGGUGACUUCAAGCCAAAGGGAGAGAUAGAAACCCCAGCAUAUUUCAUUCACAUGAUCCAGAAAAAGUAGAAAAGGAAACAGAUUAUAAUUUGGAAGUUCAUAUUUUUUGUUUUGGUUUGUGACCUCUUUUAGGUUAUUUGUGCUCAAGACAAUAUAUAAAACGUACGGAACAAGAAGCUUGGGUGUUGCUGCAAGUGGCGUGCCUGAUCAGUAUGCUGAUGGAAGCCUGGAAACCUUUGGGAAUACUACAUUGGAGGAAGCAUGGAUAGAAUGGAGCAAUAUGUUUAUGUGCAAUCUUCUUUGCAAAAAAGUUACCUCACCAUGCUGACUGUUGCAUCCACACUGGACUACACCUCACUACAUUGUUGACAGGAUAGAUGAGAGA